UUUUUAUGAGAGUUUGAUCCUGGCUCAGGACGAACGCUGGCGGCGUGCCUAAUACAUGCAAGUCGAACGCUUCU
rnacentral:rRNA from 1 species